rnacentral:misc_RNA from 1 species
GGAAGGAUCAUUAACACGUAUCCAAACGUAAAACCCCCCGUGAACAAUAUCCGCUUAUCUCCUGACGCUUGCAGCGACUUCCUUGCCCUGUACAUAUAUUGUGCGCUUGUGCCAACAAGAACACAAAAAGGAUGGGGUAUGGGGACUCUCUGUCGGUGGACUGGAUCGAGAGGUUCGUAAAAGUGCUCGGUUGCCCCUGUUCCCUGGAAUGUAGCGGGUGAUAGUGGGAUCUCUGUUCUCCGGUGUCUGUCAGUGUCACCGGAAUGCACAGUUAACUGACCGUUUGUGACUGCAAUGAGGAAGCUGCGCUGGUAACUCACAUGUUUGUUAUGACUCAGCGGACCUUCCUCGCAGAAGCAAACCAGAUCGUUCUGGCCACACGCCAGAAAUUUUUCGGACGAGCAACUGGCGGCGCGCAUUGCCCACUGCCCUCUAAGGAGGGGCGUUAAUGCUUAAUUCCCAAUUCGGGGGAGCUGAUGAAAGUCCCUCCCCGUCAAAACCGAACAACUGUUAACAAUGGAUAUCUUGGUUCUCGCAACGAUGAAGAACGCAGCGAAAUGCGAUACGUAAUGCGAAUUGCAGAAUUCAGUGAAUCAUCGAAUCUUUGAACGCAAAUUGCGCUCUUUGGUUACCCCGAAGAGCACACCUCUCUGAGUGUCGGUUUAACCCUAUGUCACCAAUUUAUUGGUGUACGACAGUCUGAGGGUAAGGAGUCUCGGCUUCUUUCCCUUUAAAUUUGUGAAGCAGCACGAUUGCGUGCGUUAGUGGCAAGUUGUUUUCGGUUAAUAUCCCGAAUCCGAUCCACCGACCCCAAUGAAUGCAAGCCACCCAAAGAAACAACAGAAGGGGCAAUAAAGUGAGGGUGAAGAAUAGUCUUUUUAAGUUCUUUUCGAACGGGGAGCUUUGAGUUUAUAUUUGAGACUUUUGGUGAAGAAGACUUAUCGAUUGAGAUGUCGUCAACGCGCUAACAACGGAUAGUCUCCCCCUUAAAAGGGAGAUAAUUUGAAGACUGCUGCGAGCGAUAACUCUUGGUAGUCGACGUCCUGGAAGACUUGAACGUGGAUUCGGUUACCUAUUUGGGGGGAGCACUAAGAUGGUUUUGAUCUUGAGCUUGUUGCUUUUUCGAACGAACUAUGAAUUAGACCUCAGAUGAAGUGGGAAAACCCCCUGAAUUUAAGCAUAUUAUUAAGGGGAGGAAAAGAAACUAACAAGGAUUCCCCUAGUAACGGCGAGUGAAGCGGGAAAAGCUCAAAUUUAAAAUCCGCUGGUCUAACAGCUUGCGGAGUUGUAAUCUAGAGAGGCUCUCUCAGUGCAAGCCUGGUUAUAAGUCCCUUGAAACGGGGCAUCAUAGAGGGUGAGAAUCCCGUCUUUGAGCCGGAGCUACGCACGUACGAGGAGUUUUCUAAGAGUCGCGUUGCUUGGGAGUGCAGCGCUAAUUGGGUGGUAAAGUUCAUCUAAAGCUAAAUACUGGCGAGAGACCGAUAGCGAACAAGUACCGUGAGGGAAAGAUGAAAAGAACUUUGAAAAGAGAGUUAAAAAGUACUUGAAAUUGUUAACAGGGAAGGGGAGAAAACCAGUCAUUCUUCCGUUUCAUUCGCUUCUCCUUCGGGGGGAGUUACUUGAGAUAGAAGAGGGUGGACGUCAUUUGGGUGUCUUCGCAGAAAGUGCGCGGGUUGGUGCGUUUCUUCGGAUUCGUUUAACCUGUGCGCCCUACGUUGAUCCUGGAUGAGGAGUGAUAGCCCGCGCCCUCUCGGGGGCAGAGCACUUUGAGGUCUGUUUGCCCUAGCGCGUGAGAGAACAAAGUUCUGUCUGUGCGAAAGGUGAAUACUGCUUUGGAUGUGUUACUUGCUGGGCUCGCGAUGUCUACGAAAUGGUUCUCUUCCACCCGUCUUGAAACACGGACCAAGGAGUCUAACAUAUAUGCGAGUAUUUGGGUGAUAAACCCUGAUGCGCAAUGAAAGUAAAGAGCCGCAAGGCUUGAGGUAGGAAUCUUACCUUCGGGUGGGAGGCACUAUCGACCGAUCGUUCGCUUGCGAAAGAUUUGAGUAAUAGCAUAUAUGUUGGGACCCGAAAGAUGGUGAUCUAUGCCUGAACAGGGUGAAGCCAGGGGAAACUCUGGUGGAAGCUCGUAGCGAUACUGACGUGCAAAUCGUUCGUCUGAUUUGGGUAUAGGGGCGAAAGACUAAUCGAACCAUCUAGUAGCUGGUUCCCUC